AGUGUCUGGAUGGACGAUAUGGAUACAACUGCGAAGAAUCCUGCACCAAUUGUAGCUUUACCAAGAGAUGUGAUGUAAUAUCAGGACAAUGUAAUGUUAUAAGAAGAUCAUUGGAUUCUAAUACAAGCGACCAGAUACCCUCAAGUCUGUAUGGAAUACUAUCUUCUCUUUGCUUAAGCUUUGGCUUAAACAUCGCUUUAAUUUUCUGGAGUUGUAAAAAGAAGGCGUGCAAGGAAAAGAAUGACCUAGAGAAAACUACUACACAUUUAUCCACAAAACCUACUAAGCUGGAUACACAGCUCGAUGAUGAUGUUGAAGACAGUGUAGUAUACGAAGACGUUGAUCAAUUAAGUCAUCAAUCCAUUUAUGAAAACUAACA